AGAGUUUGAUCCUGGCUCAGAGCGAACGCUGGCGGCGUGCUUAACACAUGCAAGUCGAGUGCGCGUUUCCGUAGCAAUACGGAAAUGGCGCACGGCGGCACGGGUGCGUAACACGUGGGUAAUCUGCCCUCUGAUGGGGAAUAACCCGCCGAAAGGCGGGCUAAUUCCGCAUAACAUUCCUUGGACUCCGGUUCGAGGAUUCAAAGGCGUAAGUCGUCGGAGGUGGAGCCCGCGCACGAUUAGCUAGUUGGUAGGGUAAUGGCCUACCAAGGCUAUGAUCGUUAGCUGGUCUGAGAGGAUGGCCAGCCACACUGGAACUGAGACACGGUCCAGACUCCUACGGGAGGCAGCAGUGGGGAAUCUUGCACAAUGGGCGAAAGCCUGAUGCAGCGACGCCGCGUGGGGGAUGAAGCUUCUCGGAGUGUAAACCCCUUUCGACCGGGACGAAUACCUCGCAAGAGGGGUGACGGUACCGGUAUAAGAAGCCCCGGCUAACUACGUGCCAGCAGCCGCGGUAAGACGUAGGGGGCCAGCGUUGCUCGGAAUUACUGGGUGUAAAGGGUUCGUAGGCGGUGUGGCAAGUCGGGAGUGAAAUCUCUGAGCUUAACUCAGGGGCUGCUUCCGAACUGCCGUGCUAGAGUGUGGGAGAGGCGCGUGGAAUUGCAGGUAGCGGUGAAAUGCGUAGAUAUCUGCAGGAACACCCGUGGCGANNNCGGCGCGCUGGACCACUACUGACGCUGAGGAACGAAAGCUAGGGGAGCAAACAGGAUUAGAUACCCUAGUAGUCC
rnacentral:rRNA from 1 species